CUCUUGACCCCUUGCUCUAACCAUGGUCCUAGAAUCAAUUUCAUCUUCUUCCUACAUUGAGAGAGAAGAAAAACUUCUAAUGUGGCUUAUGGGGCUGAGCCUUGGCUUUCUAGAGUUUCAUGGAAUCUGCCAAUAUCUCAUCUCUCCUAAUACACAACACACAAGAAGCCUUAGAAGGGUCAAAUGAUCACCUGCUAUCCACAAAGGAAUGAUCCUGUUAUUCCUCUUCAUAGGAUAGGAAGGAAAGAGGUUAUGUUACGUACUACUCAGAACUGGUUGGAACAGAUUGCAACACAAAUGCUAGCAAUAAAUAAAUAUUAAACAAUAGAGUGAAA